AUUCGCCUUCAUGAAGCCGGAAUUGCUAGUAAUGGCAGGUCAGCAUACUGCCGUGAAUACGUUCCCGGGGCCCUUGUACACACCGCCCGUCACACCAUGAGAGUUGGGAAUACCCGAAGCCUGUGAGCCAACGUAAGAGGCAGCAGUCGAAGGUAGAAUCAAUGAUUGGGGUGAAGUCGUAACAAGGUACC
rnacentral:rRNA from 1 species